UACGUAGGGAGCGAGCGUUGUCCGGAAUUACUGGGCGUAAAGGGCGCGUAGGCGGCGCUUCAAGUCGUCUGUCAAAAGCCGAGGCUCAACCUCGGUGCGCAGACGAAACUGGAGAGCUUGAGAAGCAGAGAGGCAAACAGAAUUCCUGGUGUAGCGGUGAAAUGCGUAGAUAUCAGGAAGAAUACCAGUGGCGAAGGCGGUUUGCUGGCUGCAUACUGACGCUGAAGCGCGAAAGCCAGGGGAGCAAACGGG
rnacentral:rRNA from 1 species